CUCAUUUUGGAUUAUUCAGUUCUCUACCUCACAUGAUCUAUGAGCUGAAGCUCUAAAUCCAGUGGAGGCAUGAGGAGUGGUAGAGCAUGAUGACACCCCGCGGGGUUCUUUGGUUGAGAUGGAUUUUUGCAGUCUCCAACCCCGCUGGGGGGCAAAAAAUUGCGACGUGCGCGAGGUCUUUGCCGCCCAGCCCACUCGGCGGUUGAUCCACGCAUUCGCUGGAGGAAAGAAACUGUUCAGUAGUAUUUGAGCUUUGUCUUUGUUGUCUGCAUAUUCAGUGUCCUCCACCAUCAGGGGAGGAAUGUUGGCAUAAUUGUCUGAGGGGAAGAUGUAUCCUGCUGCUUUCCAAAGGUGGUUGCCUGCACUUGCUUUGUCAAGGAAUUCUUUCCAGUGUUCUUGCUUGGCUUUCUCUAUUGUUUGAGUCCAUUCCCUGCGCUUCCGCAGCGCGUCUGUGUGUAGGGCUUGGAUGUCUGAGUGGUUGCUUCCCCACUCAACACAACUGGUCUGCCACCUCCUUCAGCUUCUGUUGCACUUGGACUGCUGUAUUUUCAGGUCCUGGCUGAACCAGCAUUUGGUGUAAGAAGAUGGUCUUGCAUGCGGGGUGUGCUUGUCUAUUUCUGCUAUUGUUGUUGUGAUUAAUCUGUCAACUAUUCCAUCCAGCUGAGUUGUUGAUUCAAUCCACAGUAUAGAGAUCACCUUCUCUAUAGCUUUGUCAAUCUCUUCUCAGUUCAUUUGAUUGAAAAGUCUUCAUGGAUGGCCUGAAUCUUUCUGUUUCAGUUGCAGAUCUCAUUCUGAGUAGAUUGCUAGAUGGUCAGAGCUAUAGUUGUCUCAGUAGGAAUGACAUUUGAGUAACUGAUGUGGGACAUUACUGAGUGUGAGAUUGAGUGUGGAGCAUGUGCCUGGGUGGCUCACUGAUCAGUAGGUGGCAGUACC
rnacentral:sRNA from 1 species